UGCUUGCUGCUUGAGACUGAGUAACUGCUAGAUCCUUGGACUUCCAUUCACAGCUGCGACUGAACAAUUGUUGGGAAUUGGGCUGCCGACUGGCAUGAGAUUAAAUUCUCUUUUGAAAUCUUCAUUGAUCAUACCUUGAUUCACACUGGAAAGUUGAAGAAUCCUUUGAGUUGUAUCAUUCAGUAUAUUUUCUGCUUCUGCAUGUUGUAUACAACUACUGUGAAAACUGAUGGUGAUCUUGUAUUCUCAAGAUUGUGGUCUUCUAAAUUUGCUGGCAAGGAAGACAUUUCUAGAAGCAAGAAGAUUUGGGCACCUGAAUAGCAAGAGAGUAAAUUGGCAGAAGUCAUCAUGUUUUGGCUACAUUCACCCUUGUCAUACCCCUUCCCUGCCAGCCUCAAUUUUUUGUUCAGUUUUUUUGUUUGUUUGUUUUUGUUUUAUUACAAUAGGAAGUGAGCCAUGCAUUUGAAGUACAU
rnacentral:lncRNA from 1 species